rnacentral:rRNA from 1 species
AAUAUUGGACAAUGGGCGAAAGCCUGAUCCAGCCAUGCCGCGUGUUUGAAGAAGGACUUCGGAUUGUAAAGCACUUUAAGUUGGGAGGAAGGGCAGUAAGUUAAUACCUUGCUGUUUUGACGUUACCGACAGAAUAAGCACCGGCUAACUUCGUGCCAGCAGCCGCGGUAAUACAGAGGGUGCAAGCGUUAAUCGGAAUUACUGGGCGUAAAGCGCGCGUAGGUGGUUCAGUAAGAUGGGUGUGAAAGCCCCGGGCUCAACCUGGGAACUGCUUUCAAAACUGGCAAGCUAGAGUAUGGCAGAGGGUGGUGGAAUUUCCUGUGUAGCGGUGAAAUGCGUAGAUAUAGGAAGGAACACCAGUGGCGAAGGCGACCACCUGGGCUAAUACUGACGCUCAGACACGAAAGCGUGGGGAGCAAAC